rnacentral:tRNA from 1 species
UCCCUGAUGGUCCAGUGGUUAGGGCUCAGUGCUUUCACUGCCGGGGGCCUGGGUUCAAUCCCUGGUCAGGGAA